CAGUAGCCGCGGGAAUACGAAGGGUGCAAGCGUUAAUCGGAAUUACUGGGCGUAAAGCGUGCGCAGGCGGUUUGUUAAGGCAGAUGUGAAAUCCCCGGGCUCAACCUGGGAAUGGCAGUGGAUACUGGCUCGCUAGAGUGUGUCAGAGGAUGGUGGAAUUCCCGGUGUAGCGGUGAAAUGCGUAGAGAUCGGGAGGAACAUCAGUGGCGAAGGCGGCCAUCUGGGACAACACUGACGCUGAGGCACGUAAGCGUGGAGAGCAAACAGGAUUAGAUACCCCAGUAGUCCCUGUCUCUUAUAC
rnacentral:rRNA from 1 species